rnacentral:lncRNA from 1 species
GAGGGAUCUAUAACUUUGCAGUCGAUGGCUUUUACAUUUGAAAUCGUCUAAGUUUUGAAAUUUUUAUUUUAAGUUUUAUAUUUUAUUUUUUUUCAAAAUAGUCUUGAAUGAAGAAUCACCCUAAACUAAAGUUAUAGUACUUGAAGAGAUCUGUAACUUUAUACUAUUUAUUCUAAAUUUUAGAUUUUGAAAUUAUUUAAAUAUCUCGGAUAGAUAAUCGACCUAAACAAAAUUUGUAGUAGGCAGGGAUAUCAAACUUUGUGAACGAAGAGACGACACGACGGACGUUGUAAAGCAACAUAGACACAGACGAGAGACGUUGUAAAGCAACAACACAGACAAGGUAUUUAGUUUGACCACACCCGAUGAUGCAGGGAC